GAAUUCAAUGAGUCACUUUAUUUUUAGAUACUAAAAUGUAAGAAGACGAAAAAAUAUUCAAGAAUUUUUAAGAAAAUGCGGUUGUUCCAAAUCCAGAUCCAGAAAAUUACAUUACUAUCUAAAGUAUUGAAUACAUUACUUUAGAUAGUAAUGUAUUCAAACUUUU
ensembl:ncRNA ZC506.7 ncRNA